rnacentral:rRNA from 1 species
CAAUAGCGUAUAUUAAAGUUGUUGCAGUUAAAAAGCCCGUAGUUGGAUUUGUGGCGUACGGUGUGUUCCGGGCACUUGUUGUCUGAGUAACCUGCUGUUGCCAUCCUUGGGUGGAACCUGUGUGGCAUUAGGUUGUCGUGCAGGGGAUGCCCAUCAUUUACUGUGAAAAAAUUAGAGUGUUCAAAGCAGGCUUAUGCCGUUGAAUAUAUUAGCAUGGAAUAAUGAGAUAGGACUUUUUUGCUAUUUUGUUGGUUUGCGCAAGAAGGUAAUGAUUAAUAGGGACAGUUGGGGGUAUUCGUAUUCCAUUGUCAGAGGUGAAAUUCUUGGAUUUUUGGAAGACGAACUACUGCGAAAGCAUUUACCAAGGAUGUUUUCAUUAA